GACGAACGCUGGCGGCGUGCUUAACACAUGCAAGUCGAACGAAGUGGCGAACGGGUGAGUAAAGCGUAAUCAACCUGCCCUUCAGAGGGGGACCACAGUUGGAAACGACUGCUAAUACCGCAUACUGAAGGCGGGGAUUGCGUUGGAUUAGCUAGUUGGGGGGGUAACGGCCCACCAAGGCGAUGAUCAGUAGCCGGGCUGAGAGGGUGAACGGCCACAUUGGGACUGAGGCACGGCCCAGAAUCCUGCGGGGGGCAGCAGUGGGGAAUCUUCCGGAAUGGAAGAAAGUCUGACGGAGCAACGCCGCGGGAGUGAUAACGGCCUUCGGGUUGUAAAGCUCUGUUAAUCGGGACGCGGUACCGGAAUAGAAAGCCACGGCUAACUACGUGCCAGCAGCCGCGGUAAUUC
rnacentral:rRNA from 1 species